rnacentral:rRNA from 1 species
AGGAUGGACCUGCGUCCCAUUAGCUAGUUGGUGAGGUAACGGCUCACCAAGGCAACGAUGGGUAGCCGGCCUCCCAGGGUGACCGGCCACACUGCGACUGAGAUACGGCCCAGACUCCUACGGGAGGCAGUAGUCAGGAAUAUUGCGCAAUGGCCGAAAGGCUGACGCAUCAACGACGCGCGCCUGAUGACGCUCCAAGGAGUGUCAAGCCCUGUUAGGAGGCAAGAACGACAUUGGCGUGAAUAAUGUAAAUGCAUGACGGUACCUCCAGAGAAAGCCCCGGCUAACUCCUUGCCAGCAGCCGCGGUAAUACGGGGGGCGGAAGCGUUGUCCGUAAUUAUUGGGCGUAAAGGGCGCGUAGGCGGAAUAAUAACUCAGAGGUGAAAACCAUGGGCUUAACUUAUGGCUUGCCUUUGAAACUGUUAUUCUUGAGUGCGGAAGAGGGAAGUGGAAUUCCUGGUGUUGCGGUGAAAUGCGUAGAUAUUCCGAAGAACACCGGUAGCGAAGGCGGCUUCCUGGUCCGCAACUGAAGCUGAGGCGCGAAAGCUUGGGGAGCAAACGGGAUUAGAUACCCUGGGAGUCCACGCCGUAAAAGAUGGGCACUAGAUGUUGGUUCACGAUGAGUGGAUCAUGCACCGAAGCUAACGCAUGAAGUACCCCGCCUGGCGAGUACGAUCGCAAGGUUGA